rnacentral:lncRNA from 1 species
GUUUAAUUCCCUGUGCAGGUAUGCUCAGCUUUUUUAUCUCACAUUGGGUUGAUAAAUCAUCUUUCUGAUGGCUACUCUUGGACACUUCUUCACUGUAUUAAUGGCGAGCAGAAACUUCAUCCAUCAGGUAAAUUAUGAUGUAUGAUUAGUUUUCACUUAUACAACAUACUGUCUUUUAGUACCUUUCGGCGUGGUAUAAUCUCGUCUCAAAGUUUAUCUAGGACACUGUUUCAUUCUUACAUCUAAUAUUACUUGCUUCUUGCUGCUUUGUCCUAGUUGGUGCUGAGGAACGUUCUAACUUUUUUCAGUCACGAAAGUCUAAAGCACACAUUGGCCAAAGCUAACUUUAUCCUUAUGCAUUUCUUUUUCAUCAUCGACUUGAAUUUAAUUUAAUACAAUGGAUCUCUUUUCUAUAACUCUUAUUUUCUUGAGUGGAAAUUAGGAAGCAUUUCUACAUUCUUGUGUGAUGUGUGUUAGCUGCCAAGGUUGACACCGGACAUGAAGGCUACCAUCUGGCUAAUUAAUGUGCCAAAUAUGUUCUAUAGAUCUAUUUUCUGAAAAUAUUACUGAAGCUUCAAGAUGAGUAGUCUUUGUUAUAUAUUGGUUGUGAAGCUCCUUCAUCAAACUGACAUAUCUUGGCUCCUUUUGGAACCAUACAGUAGUUUAAUUUUAUAUAAUCACUUAGGUGAACACUAUAGAUGUCUUUUUUAUUUUUACUGUACAUUUUAUCCAUUACCGGUUUUCCAAUUAUUGUUUGUUCUUUUAUCCUAUCCUAAGUAAUUCUUAAAUAUUUGUUUAAUCGAUAAUUAUUCUUUUGUUCGUUACAUGUAAAUUGGCAGUAUUUUUUAUAAUGUAACAUAUGUCCUUGAUGCAGAAUCCACGGGGUUAAUGUGGCAGAGCCGCCUUUAGUUGCUACUUGCAACAAUUAUUGUAGACGGGGGGACUGUGUUGGCUCCUUAUUAAUUCUAUAGAAGAGGUAAUUUAUCUAUUUUGACCAUCAGCAUUCAUCAUACAACGCGUGUGAGAAGUAUUCAUUCUCCACUAUGAUUGUUUACUAAUUUUUAUGUUGUCUACACUCUUGUGUCCAAACAAAAUGUGGGGGUGCAUAGUCUGCACCAUAUCAAGUGGUUUGUGAUCUAUAUUUUCGCAACAACUGUCCUUGGAAUAAAAUAAAGCUAAAAGCUUGACAAAGUGGAAUGAAGCAGAUUGCAAAUAUUCCUGGAAUUCAGAAAAGGAAACUUGGGGUUGCCUGGUUGAAAACAGAUAGCAAAUAUGAUAGCAAGAAAUUGAUCUUCUUCAGGGGCAUGAGUACGGAUAUUAUUAUUAUUAUUAUUAUUAUCAUUAUUAUUUAUUUAUUUAUUUAUUUAUUUUAAUUUGGAAAAUCUCUCUUAUUUAUUGGGUUUCUUAGAUAAUCGUGUAAUUGGAUUGUUUCUUAGUUGUGGUGAAGUACCCGAAGAGUAAUGUUUCAUGAUUUUUUCCAUCCCUUGGAAUCUGUUUUCUUAAACUUGCUAUCUUUACACGUUUAACGUUUGUGCAUAUGUUCUUUCUGUUAGUUAUUGUGUCUCUGGGUGACUGGGGCUACUGCUUCUGGUAUGCAUAUUAGUAAUUUCAGUUCAAUUGUGCCUUUAGACGUUAGUCUUUGAGGAUUGAGAAGCUCGUUGUAUCUGCCAUUCCCAGUGUAGUGGAGACAGGGACAAAGGGUUUGGCUUCGAACCCCUGGAAGACGAUGAGAGACAAAGUUUGAGCAAAACUAACCUCAUGGUGUUUCCCGGAUCCAUAUGGCUGAAAAAGCCUUUGUAUCAGAAUACCAUGAAAUAAGAAAAUGGUGAGGAUUUUGUUUUUGAGAUUUUUUUCAUCAUUGUUUAAAUGUUUGGCUGUGUUUUAAGGGGGGUG